AGAGUUUGAUCCUGGCUCAGGACGAACGCUGGCGGCGUGCUUAACACAUGCAAGUCGAGCGGUAAGGCCCUUUCGGGGGUACACGAGCGGCGAACGGGUGAGUAACACGUGGGUGACCUGCCCUCCACUCUGGGAUAAGCCCGGGAAACUGGGUCUAAUACCGGAUAGGACCACUGAUCGCAUGGUUGGUGGUGGAAAGUUUUUUCGGUGGGGGAUGGGCCCGCGGCCGAUCAGCUUGUUGGUGGGGUGAUGGCCUACCAAGGCGGUGACGGGUAGCCGGCCUGAGAGGGCGACCGGCCACACUGGGACUGAGACACGGCCCAGACUCCUACGGGAGGCAGCAGUGGGGAAUAUUGCGCAAUGGGCGGAAGCCUGGCGCAGCGACGCCGCGUGGGGGAUGACGGCCUUCGGGUUGUAAACCUCUUUCGCCAGGGACGAAGAGCAAUUGACGGUACCUGGAGAAGAAGCACCGGCCAACUACGUGCCAGCAGCCGCGGUAACACGUAGGGUGCGAGCGUUGUCCGGAAUUAUUGGGCGUAAAGAGCUCGUAGGCGGUGUGUCGCGUCGGCCGUGAAAACUUGGGGCUUAACUCUGAGCGUGCGGUCGAUACGGGCAUCACUUGAGUUCGGCAGGGGAGACUGGAAUUCCUGGUGUAGCGGUGAAAUGCGCAGAUAUCAGGAGGAACACCGGUGGCGAAGGCGGGUCUCUGGGCCGAUACUGACGCUGAGGAGCGAAAGCGUGGGGAGCGAACAGGAUUAGAUACCCUGGUAGUCC
rnacentral:rRNA from 1 species